rnacentral:rRNA from 1 species
UGGUCCUGGCCUUGAAAUCAGUUCUUACUUAGUAUACACAUGCAAGUCUCCGCACCCCUGUGAAAACGCCCUUAAACCUCUCUAAGAGCUGAGGAGCCGGUAUCAGGCACAAAAAUUGGCCCAAGACACCUAGCUACGCCACACCCACACGGGCAAUCAGCAGUGAUUAAUAUUGUAAAUAAGCGACAGCUUGAAGCAGCUAAAGUAAAGAGAGCCGGCAAAUCUGGUGCCAGCCGCCGCGGUUACACCAUAUGGCUCGAACUGAUAUCCUCCGGCGUAAAGCGUGAUUAAAGUGCCUAAUAAUCUGCAAUUUAAUUAUAACUAGACUGUGACACGUUUGUUAUUAAGAAAGCCAAAACCGAAAGAUAUUGCAAUCUUAACAACUUGAAUUCACGACAACUAGGACACAAACUGGGAUUAGAUACCCCACUAUGCCUAGUCGUAAACUUUUAUUUACCCCCA